UACGUAGGAUCCGAGCGUUGUCCGGAAUCACUGGGUGUAAAGGGUGCGCAGGCGGAUUUGAACGUCAGAGGUUAAAUGUCACCGCUUAACGGUGAACCUGCCUUUGAAACGGCAAGUCUUGAGUAUGAGAGAGGUAAGUAGAAUUCCUGGUGUAGCGGUGAAAUGCGUAGAUAUCAGGAGGAAUACCAGUGGCGAAGGCGGCUUACUGGCUCAUAACUGACGCUCAGGCACGAAAGCGCGGGGAGCAAACAGG
rnacentral:rRNA from 1 species